GGUAAACGGCGGCCGUAACUAUAACGGUCCUAAGGUAGCGAAAUUCCUUGUCGGGUAAGUUCCGACCUGCACGAAUGGCGUAAUGAUGGCCAGGCUGUCUCCACCCGGGACUCAGUGAAAUUGAACUCGCUGUGAAGAUGCAGUGUACCCGCGGCAAGACGGAAAGACCCCGUGAACCUUUACUAUAGCUUGACACUGAACAUUGAGCCUUGAUGUGUAGGAUAGGUGGGAGGCUUUGAAGCGUG
rnacentral:rRNA from 2 species